rnacentral:rRNA from 1 species
AAUUCUAAUUUUAGAAGUCAAGUUAUGAUCUGAGAGAUAACUUAAAAAUGGAAAGUUAUUUAAGAACAAAAUAAAAGGCAAAAAACCAAACUUCAUACAAACUUAAAUGUUUGACAUUUAAAAUUAAAGAGAUUUUUUUUUACGUGGAUUUGAAAUAAAUAAGCCAACCUCGGUACAUAACCUCUGAAAACUAAAAAACCGUACCCUAAACCAACACAGGUAGAUAGGUCGAGUAGACCAAGGUGUAUGAGAUAAUUAUGUUGAAGGAACUCGGCAAAAUGACUCUGUAACUUCGGGAGAAAGAGUACCUUUUUAUUUAAGUAUUUAUCGAUG